rnacentral:rRNA from 1 species
UACAGAGGGUGCGAGCGUUAAUCGGAAUUACUGGGCGUAAAGCGUGCGUAGACGGUUAUUUAAGUCGGAUGUGAAAGCCCCGGGCUCAACCUGGGAAUUGCAUUCGAGACUGAAUAGCUAGGGUACGGUAGAGGGAAGCGGAAUUUCCGGUGUAGCGGUGAAAUGCGUAGAUAUCGGAAGGAACAUCAGUGGCGAAAGCGGCUUCCUGGACCAGUACCGACGUUCAGGCACGAAAGCUAGGGGAGCAAACGGG